rnacentral:lncRNA from 1 species
GCCGCCAACUUAUUUUUUUUCUCCUUAUAUGUGUGAUAUUUUGAAGAGAUUUUUUAUGAAAAAUUAGUUGGAGAAUUGAUUUACCAUAAAAAAAUAUGGGAAGGGGCAUCUUAUAUUUUUUUUGGUAUAUUUUGGUAUGAACUUUUGAAUAGGGGCGACAACACAUCAAAAGUCCAUGAUCUCUAGGACCCUUCACCCCACCUCCUUACACAUUGAAAUAAAAAGAGUUUUAUUUCAUUCUUGUGUGUGUAAGAGAUCUGAGA